CCUACGGGGUGCAGCAGUGGGGAAUAUUGCACAAUGGGGGGAACCCUGAUGCAGCAACGCCGCGUGAAGGAUGAAGGUUUUCGGAUCGUAAACUUCUAUCAGUAGGGAAGAAAACAAUGACAGUACCUAACUAAGAAGCCCCGGCUAACUACGUGCCAGCAGCCGCGGUAAUACGUAGGGGGCAAGCGUUAUCCGGAUUUACUGGGUGUAAAGGGUGCGUAGGUGGCAUGGUAAGUUGGAUGUGAAAGCCCAAGGCUCAACCUUGGGAUUGCAUCUAAAACUGCCAAGCUAGAGUGCAGGAGAGGAAAGUGGAAUUCCUAGUGUAGCGGUGAAAUGCGUAGAUAUUAGGAGGAACACCAGUAGCGAAGGCGACUUUCUGGACUGUAACUGACACUGAGGCACGAAAGCGUGGGUAGCAAACAGGAUUAGAUACCCCGGUAGUC
rnacentral:rRNA from 1 species